GCAGUGCUUAUAGUCUUGCACCAUUGAGGGUUGAUGGGCCUAGCGGAUGGUCUUAUGGAAUACGCGUGAAAUAUUCUGUGCAAGGGAAUGAAGAAUUCUGCAGGGCGUGUGGGGCUACCGGUGGCACUUGUGGGUAUGGUACUGAUGGAGUUAGACAGAUGUGCAUGUGUGGGAAUUUCAAUUCCACAUCAAACUGUGAUUCAGGUAAGAUUAUAAUUCUUUGUUAAUCUAAUUAUUUUUAUUAUUAUUAAAAUUAGAUCAAAAGUAGACCCAUAUAGCCCUCCCCCAAAUUGCCAUUUAUUACUAUUUUGAUUUGCAGUUAGUUCAGCAACAAGCAGCAGAACAUGGUCUAGUGUGAGCACACUAGCAGGCUGUUUGAUGGGUAUAUUAGGAUGGAUAGCUGCCAAUUCCAAGCCAUAAGCCCACCAACCAUCAUACAAGACAGAGAAAAAGGGCAUAUUUAUCUGAAGACAAAUGGUAUUUAAUUAAGAGGAUCAAAUCAUGUGUGAAUUUUUGUGAUUAACUAUUCAAUUUUUUUUUUUAAAUGAUAUCUAUCAUUAUUCUUCCCAUAUAUUGUUUCUCUAUUUCUUCCAUUCACGUGUUUCAAUUAAUUUAUUUAUUGUCACUUGAGAAAUAAUUAAAAAAAUU
rnacentral:misc_RNA from 1 species